GAGGUAGACAGAGACAACUCUCUCAUCAUCUAGGGGAAGCAAGGGACGAAAAAAGGAACAGCCAAACCAAAGAGAUCAAGAAGGGUUAAUUAUAAGGGAUGGCGCAUUCUAUUGAGAUGACAACAGCAGCAGAUGACCAAAGUCCACUGCUUCGUCAAAGCGCACGCUCACAUGUAAUUAAUACCUUUUCAUUUAUUUUUAUUUUUUUUGUUUUUGUUUUUGUAUACAAAAAGCAACAAAGGUAGGAGGUGUUUAGGGUUUUCAUGAGAAAGAAGAAAAAGAGUUCAAGAACUGAAUUAUUGAACACACCUCCCAACUCAGCAAC